CAAUCACUGCAUGACUCAUUAAAAAUAGAACUCAACAGCUCUACAUUGAGGUUACUGGUUGACCCCAAGAACAAGACAAGUGUAUGAGAAAAUGGUUAAUGUACUCAUUAUUAUUGCUCUUGGAUUCUCUUCUCGAGAUGGUUGAAAUGCUCAACUAGUUGAUCGAUCAGGACAUAUACCUUCAGCCCUUUCCCUCACUUUCUCAUCCUCCUAUAGAAACAAGGAGUCUCUGUCCAUUUAUUUGUCGUCAAACUCUGUGCAUGGAAUCACUGCCUCAGAAAUACUACUAUUUCAAAUGACUUCAGUUUCCUCUCACAAUGCUGUGGUUCUACUCAAAACAGAUCAUGCAAUCAAACAAAGGAAGGGAAGCUAUUUUGUGAUUCCAGUCGAAACACAUGAAGCAGUCAAACAGAGAGAGCGCGACAAAUUCCCACUACGAAAUGAUAGCCAGGCAUUCUCGCAAACAACUCAUCGUCACAAAGCCGAUGCCACAGAGGGUGAAUCGGCUGUUCAACCAUUACAGCAACAACAAAUCCACAAUUCCUUGAUCGUCCAAAAUCAUCUCCGAGCGCAUAUGUGGGAAAAUUUAGAUCGAGCUGAUAUCAGUUUUUUUGCCGUAAAAUGUUUGUCAGAAUUGACAAAAAAAGAACUUGUUUUGUGUGCUUUGAACAGCCAAUUGCGUGAAUAAUAAUAACCAAUCGAGACACACCGAGAGUCAGCCGAAGAAGAUUGGGUUCGUCGAGGCCAAUCGCCGCCGUCGCGCAAUGUUAUCGACGGUGAUUGGGUUCGUCGAGGCCAAUCGCCGCCAUCGCGCAAUGUUGUCGACGGUGACUGGGUUCGUCGAGGCCACUCCCCGCCACCGCGCACCCCCAAUGGGACUUACAGACUGAUAACCGUCACUCGCCUUGCAAGCAAACCUCCGUGGGU
rnacentral:lncRNA from 1 species